AAAUUGCCCACUCUUUGCAGGAGGCAGUUAUGAGACGUGAAGAUGAGUAUCUUGUAAAGAGGGAUAGGAGAAUUGGAGGGCAAGUUUGGUGCCAGCAGCCGCGGUAAUACCGACUCCAAGAGUGUGUAUGAGAGAUGCUGCAGUUAAAAAGUCCGUAGUCAUAGAAGGGCAAAGAGAGAUGCGAGGUCUCACAGUGCGAUGAUGGAGGAGCCGAUGGGGAACAUAGUAUACCAGGGCGAGAGAUGAAAUGCCAAGACCCCUGGUGGACUGAGCGAGGCGAAGGCGAUGUUCUUGUAGGCAUUCGGUGAUCAAGGACGAAGGCUGGAGUAUCGAAAGUGAUUAGAUACCGCAGUAGUUCCAGCAGUAAAAGAUGCCGACAUGCUCAUUGGACACAGUGGGCAGGGAGAAAUCUUAGAGUUCGGGCUCUGGGGAUAGUAUGCUCGCAAGGGUGAAAAUUAAAGAAAUUGACGGAGCUACACCACAAGGAGUGGAUUGUGCGGCUUAAUUUGACUCAACGCGAGGAAACUUACCAGGGCCAAGUAUUGUGUAGAAACGAGCAAUACAGGAGUGGUGCAUGGUCGUUGGAAAUUGAUGGGAUGACUUUGACCUUAAAUGGUUGAAUGAGUGAGAUCUUUUGGACAUGUUCCGCACGGAACAGGAAGGAAAAGGCUAUAACAGAUCCGAGAUGCCCUCAGAUGCCCUGGGCUGCACGCGCAAUACAAUAGCAGGUAGAGAGAGAGACAGGAAGGUGCUCAGAUGGACUAUGUGCUGUAAGGCACAUACGAAAGAGGAAUUCCUAGUAAGUGUGUAUCAACAAUGGAUAUU
rnacentral:rRNA from 1 species